UCCCUGGUGGCUCAGAGGGUAAAGCAUCUGCCUGCAGCCCAGGAGACCCAGGUUUGAUCCCUGGGUAAGGAA
rnacentral:tRNA from 1 species